rnacentral:rRNA from 1 species
GCCCCGGUAAACGGCGGCCGUAACUAUAACGGUCCUAAGGUAGCGAAAUUCCUUGUCGGGUAAGUUCCGACCUGCACGAAUGGCGUAAUGAUGGCCAGGCUGUCUCCACCCGAGACUCAGUGAAAUUGAACUCGCUGUGAAGAUGCAGUGUACCCGCGGCAAGACGGAAAGACCCCGUGAACCUUUACUAUAGCUUGACACUGAACAUUGAGCCUUGAUGUGUAGGAUAGGUGGGAGGCUUUGAAGUGUGGACGCCAGUCUGCAUGGAGCCGACCUUGAAAUACCACCCUUUAAUGUUUGAUGUUCUAACGUUGGCCCGUAAUCCGGGUUGCGGACAGUGUCUGGUGGGUAGUUUGACUGGGGCGGUCUCCUCCUAAAGAGUAACGGAGGAGCACGAAGGUUGGCUAAUCCUGGUCGGACAUCAGGAGGUUAGUGCAAUGGCAUAAGCCAGCUUGACUGCGAGCGUGACGGCGCGAGCAGGUGCGAAAGCAGGUCAUAGUGAUCCGGUGGUUCUGAAUGGAAGGGCCAUCGCUCAACGGAUAAAAGGUACUCCGGGGAUAACAGGCUGAUACCGCCCAAGAGUUCAUAUCGACGGCGGUGUUUGGCACCUCGAUGUCGGCUCAUCACAUCCUGGGGCUGAAGUAGGUCCCAAGGGUAUGGCUGUUCGCCAUUUAAAGUGGUACGCGAGCUGGGUUUAGAACGUCGUGAGACAGUUCGGUCCCUAUCUGCCGUGGGCGCUGGAGAACUGAGGGGGGCUGCUCCUAGUACGAGAGGACCGGAGUGGACGCAUCACUGGUGUUCGGGUUGUCAUGCCAAUGGCACUGCCCGGUAGCUAAAUGCGGAAGAGAUAAGUGCUGAAAGCAUCUAAGCACGAAACU